rnacentral:rRNA from 1 species
CUACGUGCCAGCAGCCGCGGUAAUACGUAGGGCGCGAGCGUUGUCCGGAAUUAUUGGGCGUAAAGAGCUUGUAGGCGGUUGGUCGCGUCUGCUGUGAAAGGCCGGGGCUUAACUCCGGUUUUGCAGUGGGUACGGGCUAACUAGAGUGCAGAAGGGAAGAGUGGAAUUCCAUGUGUAGCGGUGAAAUGCGUAGAUAUAUGGAGGAACACCGGUGGCGAAAGCGGCUCUCUGGUCUGUAACUGACGCUGAGGCUCGAAAGCGUGGGGAGCGAACAGGAUUAGAUACCCUGGUAGUCCACGCCGUAAACGAUGAGUGCUAGGUGUUAGGUCCUUUCCGGGACUUAGUGCCGCAGCUAACGCAUUAAGCACUCCGCCUGGGGAGUACGACCGCAAGGUUGAAACUCAAAGGAAUUGACGGGGGCCCGCACAAGCGGUGGAGCAUGUGGUUUAAUUCGAAGCAACGCGAAGAACCUUACCAGGUCUUGACAUCCCGAUGCUAUUUCUAGAGAUAGGAAGUU